rnacentral:rRNA from 1 species
UCAAAAACAUGUCCUUUAGGUUAAUUAUAUAAGGUCUGGCCUGCCCAAUGAUUAUAAAUUUAAUGGCUGCGGUAUUUUAACCGUACUAAGGUAGCAUAAUCAUUAGUCUUUUAAUUGAAGGCUGGAAUGAAAGGUUGGAUGAGGUAUUAACUUUCUUUAAGAUAUUGUAAUAAUUUAAUUUUUUAGUUAAAAAGCUAAAAUUUUUUUGUAGGACGAGAAGACCCUAUAGAUCUUUAUAAAUAUUAUAAUUUAAAUGUUAUUAGUUGUUAAUAUAGUUAAUUGUAUUAGUUAUUAGGUUGGGGUGAUUUUAGAAUUUAUUUAACUUCUGAUGAAUAAAUUUCAUUAUUUUAUGUUUAAUAUGAUCCAUUAAUAAUGAUUAUAAGAAAAAGUUACCUUAGGGAUAACAGCGUUAUUUCUUCGGAAAGUUCAUAUUGAUGAAGAAGUUUGCGACCUCGAUGUUGGAUUAAAAUAAGUAAUGAGCGCAGUAGCCCUUUAACUGGGUCUGUUCGACCCUUAAUAUUUUACAUGAUCUGAGU